UACGGAGGAUCCGAGCGUUAUCCGGAUUUAUUGGGUUUAAAGGGUGCGUAGGCGGACUGUCAAGUCAGCGGUAAAAUUGAGAGGCUCAACCUCUUCCCGCCGUUGAAACUGGUGGUCUUGAGUGGAUGAGAAGUACGCGGAAUGCGUGGUGUAGCGGUGAAAUGCAUAGAUAUCACGCAGAACUCCGAUUGCGAAGGCAGCGUACCGGCAUCCAACUGACGCUGAGGCACGAAAGCGUGGGGAUCAAACAGG
rnacentral:rRNA from 1 species